AGUGAACGCUGGCGGUAGGCCUAACACAUGCAAGUCGAACGGCAGCACAGUAAGAGCUUGCUCUUACGGGUGGCGAGUGGCGGACGGGUGAGGAAUACAUCGGAAUCUACUUUUUCGUGGGGGAUAACGUAGGGACACUUCCGCUAAUACCGCAUACGACCUACGGGUGAAAGCAGGGGAUCUUCGGACCUUGCGCGAUUGAAUGAGCCGAUGUCGGAUUAGCUAGUUGGCGGGGUAAAGGCCCACCAAGGCGACGAUCCGUAGCUGGUCUGAGAGGAUGAUCAGCCACACUGGAACUGAGACACGGUCCAGACUCCUACGGGAGGCAGCAGUGGGGAAUAUUGGACAAUGGGCGCAAGCCUGAUCCAGCCAUACCGCGUGGGUGAAGAAGGCCUUCGGGUUGUAAAGCCCUUUUGUUGGGAAAGAAAAGCAGCAGGUUAAUACCCCGCUGUUCUGACGGUACCCAAAGAAUAAGCACCGGCUAACUUCGUG
rnacentral:rRNA from 1 species